AUAAUCUAAGUAUUCUAAGAUAUCCACAUGAAAUUACUAAGAAUUAAAAAUCUAAAAAAAUAUAGCAAUAAGUUCAUGAGAUGCCUCCAUUAAAACCCUUGGAUUUCUUGAGUAAUUUUCACAUUUGAACCCAAUUCAAAAGACUAGCUACUCAUCUUUAUCUAUGAAAAUUAAACAUUAAAAGAAAAAUAAAAUUGCAUGGCAUAAAUAAAAAUUUCGAAAUUAAAAUAAAGAAACUUACAAAGUUUAAUAGAAGAGAUUG
rnacentral:lncRNA from 1 species